rnacentral:rRNA from 1 species
GAUGAACGCUGGCGGCGUGCCUAAUACAUGCAAGUCGAGCGAACAGACGAGGAGCUUGCUCCUCUGACGUUAGCGGCGGACGGGUGAGUAACACGUGGAUAACCUACCUAUAAGACUGAGAUAACUUCGGGAAACCGGAGCUAAUACCGGAUAAUAUAUUGAACCGCAUGGUUCAAUAGUGAAAGACGGUUUUGCUGUCACUUAUAGAUGGAUCCGCGCCGCAUUAGCUAGUUGGUAAGGUAACGGCUUACCAAGGCAACGAUGCGUAGCCGACCUGAGAGGGGGUCCGGCCAACCGGGAACUGAGACACGGUCCAGACUCCUAGGGGAGGCACCAGAAGGGAAUCUUCCGCAAUGGGGGAAAGCCUGACGGAGCAACGCCGCGUGAGUGAUGAAGUUCUUCGGAUCGUAAAACUCUGUUAUUAGGGAAGAACAAAUGUGUAAGUAACUAUGCACGUCUUGACGGUACCUAAUCAGAAAGCCACGGCUAACUACGUG